rnacentral:misc_RNA from 1 species
AAAAGGAUAUAGAUAAUUUAAAAAAUACCCCCCAUUGUCGUUCAAGAAUUUUGGAGUUUCCUAGCCAUUAGUUUUCUUAUAUUCAAUUAUUUUUCAUUGUCCUAUAUGAAAUUUUGCAACUAUUCUAAGGCUAUGAAAAAAACUAACCAUCCUUAAAGAAUUUAUAUCGGCAUUAGUAAUUCUAAUAUUUAUUUCUUAGAGCAAAACCACUAAUUGUUAGUUAAACUCUUUUUUUAUUAUACAAUGCUUUUACUGAUAAAAGUUCUAUCCUCAUUUUAAUAAAAGAUUAUUUAAGUUUCUAUCUAAUGAAUUUUACGGAUUUGCUAACGUAUUAUUAAUUGAGUAACCUUUUUCAAAAUUGUCCCUAAUGCUGUGAAACCAAUACUAAUUUCAACACAAAUAACUAAAACUUUAAUUAUCUUCUUUUUCAUUAGCUUUUAUCUCGAAAACAAAAAU